GUACAUGGUUGUGAGGAGUCUGCUUCCUCUGGGACAGGAACCUUCUUGCAAUGGGAAGCGUGGAUCCAGUUAGGCCUUCCGGCCAAUUUGACAGAGGUAGGGGAGAUCAGGAGAACUUGGAACGGUCCGUCAAAUCUUGGUUCCAGGGUGUGUUUUCGCACAAAUUUCUUGACCAGAACCCAGUCACCGGGGAGCAGACUGUGGUUGCCUGUGUCAGAAUCAGGAUCUGGAAUUGAAGAGAGAACUUGGGCAUGGAUUUUGUUCAAAGCAUUGGCAAGUUCAGUUACAUAAUCUACUAAAACAUCAGUUUGAAGUUGUAGUUGUUGGGGAAAAUAGCAACCUAGCCUAGG